rnacentral:lncRNA from 1 species
CUGGUGGAGGUGGAGGUGGUUGGAUUGUUGGUGACUUCUGUGAAGCAUUGUUGGCCACAGCUAGCUUAGGAGGAGGUAAUGGGGGUGAAGGUGGUACUGAUGGUGCAGAAGUAACACGGGAUGACAGUGGUGGAGGCGGAGGUGGAUGAGGGGCUGCCACGCGAUUUCUUUUACUUAAGGAUGGAAAACUUUGUGAAGGGGGAGGUGGUGGAGGUGGAGGUGGAGCAGGAGGUGUUUGAGAAGAAUGUGGUGGUGGAGGUGGAACAGGUGGUGUUCGAGGAGGUGGAGGUGGAGGUGGAACAGGCGGUGUUCGAGAUGAAGGUGGUGGAGGAGGUGGAACAGGUGGUGUUCGAGAAGGAGGUGGAGGUGGAACAGGCGGUGUUCUAGAUGGAGGAGGUGGUGGAGGUGGAACUGGCGGUGUUCGAGAUGGAGGAGGUGGCACUGGCAGUGAUCGAGGAGGUGGAGGAGGUGGAACAGGUGGUGUUUGCACCCGCGCAACACUGUGUGAAAAUGUAGGCAUCAAAGACGGGGUGUCUGGAUAUUCCAUCGUUGCACUGUGCUUGUUAUCUAGAAACUGCGGUUGAGACAACGAGACUUCAGGUUCAUUAAGUAGUGUAGAAGGCAGAGGUGGUGAUCGUGGCCGUGGAGAGGAAAAUGGUGAUUUUGCCAAAGCUGGGGGCAGAGGCGGG